GGAUCAGGUAGGAAUACCCGCUGAACUUAAGCAUAUCAAUAGCCGGAGGA
rnacentral:rRNA from 1 species